AUUCAGUUGAUGAAGUCCUACACAGGACGAUAUGCGCAUCCUGGAU
rnacentral:hammerhead_ribozyme from 1 species